rnacentral:misc_RNA from 1 species
AAAAGAUCUGAAGAAGGAGCUAACUUUACUUGUUGUCAGCCAUGACCUCAAGGAGUUGGCAUCUUUGGUAGAUCAAUCUUGGAGGAUGGAAAUGGGAGGAGCACUUAAAAAAGAGCCUCUACCCAUUUAAUGCACUGAACUUAUAAUGUUCCCAACAAUCAUUUUCUGAUGUAAUAUAUGAGGUUUUUAUGAGCCUUGAAUUGCAUACAAUUCUUGGAGAGGUGCUCAAGGUUAUUGAUUUUGCUUCAAUCCCUGACCAUCGAGGUCUUCACAUUUCAUGUAACCUCUGUAAUGUAAUUAACAGUUUCUGUAAUGAGUUUUGAGAUGGUUUCUAAUUUUCUGUACACUUAGUUCGCCGUUUAAACUCUCAUUAAAGUUUGAUGGUCUGCAGCAUUUUCUUUGUCCUCGUCUCUCACCAAAAGUUUUUGAAUGUUUAUUGGAAUUUUGUUCAAAA